ACACUGCUUCUUUCUUUCUCUAGUCAGGCUAAACUGUAAAUCGAUCCUUUUUCCUUUGCCAAUGUCUCUUCUGACUUCUUCUGAAAUUCAGGGUUAACGAGGCUAUGGAUUACGGCUCCCAAUGUCCAUCCAUUCAUCCACAGACUCCCUGUGGCCCAGUGAGGGACAACAGACUGACAGGGGCAGUUAAGGUAAGCCUGCGCUCCUGCUUUGAGGGCAGCUGCCAGCCUUCGGGAAGAUACCCAUGGUGGGAAUAACUGGUUUGCUGCUCUUUCCGGUGAAGCCUGUUCCUGCUGGGAAGCCAUGGGUUGGUAUUUUAAUAAGGGGACGUCCAUACUACCCCUGCCUGAGUCUGCUGUGUUCAACGGGGCUGCUUUAGGACCCCUCUCAGUAAACCUGCCAUAGCAUGGUGGGAGGUGGGAGCCCCACUAGAGUCAAGUAGAGAAAAGGGGGGCAGGUCUAGGAGUGUGAGCAACUGUGGGCUGAGUAUGAAUCUCGGGACCCUGGAGAACAUGAGAAGUCGCAGGAAAAUGCAGUCGGACCACAAAUCUUUGACUUUGGAAGUGUCACCACCCAUCCCAUCCCCCACCUCCGAGAAACCCCCAUUCUUGGGAAGUCUCUGGGCUCUGAUUCCAGGGCUUCUGAUUCUGGGAGCUCCAGGGCAGACAUGGUCAAUUUGGUCCUGGCUUGUAAUUAAGGCCCCUCUCUGUCCCCAUCAUAGAACAACAUCCUUCGCAGGCCUCUGGCUUCCACACACUCAUGGGCCGUCAAAGUCCUCGGAUUGACAGACCCUAGCGACAUGAGGCCACCCCAGCUGUGCUAUCCUACACGUAUCUGUGGAUCUGCUGAAGCAUAAACCAGGGCCUUCCUUCCCUGGGCUGUGGGGCCAGGCAAGUCCCUGCCAGGGCCACACCCACAGGCAGCAAGCCAGCUGCUCUAGGCCACCACUCCCUCCCCACAGAGUGUCUGUGAGACAGAAACCUGAGAUAAAUGAGUUCAAACCACAAAGAAGAGUGUGACCCGGCCAGCAUCAGCGUGUGGAUACAUACCAACCAGCCACCUACGGGAAGGACCCAGAGUUAACCCCAGGCCGGGUAGUACGGACCAACCGGGGAGUUAGGGAUUGGCUCUGUAGCUGGGCCAUGCCUACUGCCUUCAAGGUAUAGGACAGCCACAUGCUCAGACCGACCCUCCCCCCUCCACCUAAGUACCUUUUUCUCCAUUCCUGGGAUCCAGCCACCUGCACUCCUGGAAGGCGCACUUUCAGAAUAUCCCACUUAGCCCUGAGCCAUCUGCAAAGGCAAGCGAGAACACCUGGCCCCAACCUUAGCCCGGCAUACCUUUCUGCAGCUGGACUCCCAGCCCUGCUCUGUCUUCCUGGCUGCUAGCUUGCACCUCGGCCCUCAGGACUUUUCUGGUCCAGCCACUCUACCUUCAAGUGGGGCCUCUGCCCGGCUGAGAUGUCUGUCUUGACCAUAGGGUCUCUGUCAUGAGUUGGGGGUACAGUCUGGGAUGGGGUGAGGGGGGACGUGCUGCAGGGGGCUGGGUCCACUCUUGCUACAACAAGGCACCCUUCAACAGGGAGACAAGGCUCUGUGGUGAGCCUUUUCUGCAGGUCGUGGGACAAGCCUGUCCCCAUUCUCUGUCCUGUAAAUAGCAGGGCUGUUCUACAAUGUGGGCCUGAUUGUUUUCCUAUAUAGGCUGAUUCAGGGAUGUGGGGCGAGCUACUCAAGGAGAAAGGCUGCCUUAGAGGCCGGGGAUUAGACCUGAGGAGAGGAGACCACCCUGCCCAGGACCCAUGCUAUGCAGGCCACUGUCCACCAGGCACAGCCAAGGGCCACCUUCUUGUCCCAGGGGACACAGUUUUAUCAGUCACCCAAAGCCUUAAAACUUCCCGGACCCCUAGCCAUUGGAGUGUGGGGCCGAGGAAACCCUCCAUAGAAACAGACAGGUUUCCUUUACAUGGCCCGAUAGGACCCUGGGCCAGACCUCAGCAGUAAUGUUCAGAGAACAACUCACCCACAGAGUAUUUCUUCUGAGAUUAGUGGCUUAACAUAAACAAAACAAAACAAAAAAACCUUGAAGGCUUUUCCUUACUAGCACAGAGUCCCAUGUCUCCCAACACCUGUAAGUCCCACCCAAGUGCCCGAAUAUGCAGAACUCAGACUAUCUAGCUCGGCAGACCCCAGGAUACCAUGCAGCAAUCUGUUUACCUUAAAAAGCAAGAGUGGGUGUCUAUUUUCAAAAUUGUGUGUG
rnacentral:lncRNA from 1 species